ensembl:snRNA U6 U6 spliceosomal RNA
ACGCUUGUUUCAGCAGCAUAUAUACUAAAAUUGGAACGAUACAGAGAAGAUCAGCAUGGCCCAUGCACAAGUAUGACACACAAAUUCAUGAAGUGUUACAUAUUUUU